CAAGGCAAUAUCGCCCUCAACUGUUUCAAGGCAAACUGUUCAUUUUUCUAAAUCUAAAUUAAAGAAACACAUUGUUCAAAUCUCAAAUUGAUUGAUUGGAUUAUCAGUGUUACACAUGGUCUUGUUGAUGAAUUCAUCCGCCAUAAGAUCUUCUUUUCCAGUUUAUUGUACUUGAUAUAUUAUCGAGUAUUUAAUUUUCUGUCUGUGCCUUUCUACCUCUCUUACUCAUUUGCGGUUGUGAUUGAGAGAGAAGAUACUUCAAUGUUGCACUUGAGCAUUUGAUCAAUCAUUGCCGAGGCUCUGUUUUUUUUCCUGCUGGUGGUAGGUAGUAAGGAAUACCCGAUCCAAUAGCUUUCCGAGAGGAGAGAGAUGCGAGGAACAGGAUAGGUGGUGACGUAGUUAUGUUAGAAGGAUUGCGUCAGCGCGCAGGACCAAAUCUAAUUUGAAGCAAUACAAAAAAAUUCCCUUUGGAAUAUACGAUUGAUUAUUGGCAGGUCGCAAAUCUAGGAACAGCUCAAUCAACAAGAAAGUUUAUGAAAUAUGCUCAGAAUAGCACUGCUCAGCAAACCGCAAAGGCGCAAACUGAGCUUUAAGCUAGCUAUGUGCUAGAAUGCAGCAAGAUAUUGAG